GAUGAACGCUGGCGGCGUGCCUAAUACAUGCAAGUCGAGCGAACGGACGAGAAGCUUGCUUCUCUGAUGUUAGCGGCGGACGGGUGAGUAACACGUGGAUAACCUACCUAUAAGACUGGGAUAACUUCGGGAAACCGGAGCUAAUACCGGAUGAUAUUUUGAACCGCAUGGUUCAAAAGUGAAAGACGGUCUUGCUGUCACUUAUAGAUGGAUCCGCGCUGCAUUAGCUAGUUGGUAAGGUAACGGCUUACCAAGGCAACGAUGCAUAGCCGACCUGAGAGGGUGAUCGGCCACACUGGAACUAAGACACGGUCCAGACUCCUACGGGAGGCAGCAGUAGGGAAUCUUCCGCAAUGGGCGAAAGCCUGACGGAGCAACGCCGCGUGAGUGAUGAAGGUCUUCGGAUCGUAAAACUCUGUUAUUAGGGAAGAACAUAUGUGUAAGUAACUGUGCACAUCUUGACGGUACCUAAUCAGAAAGCCACGGCUAACUACGUG
rnacentral:rRNA from 1 species